GUUUAUUUUGUGUAUUUAUAGGUGAUCAGACAUCUUGGUUUUCAUGAUCAAUAGGUCAUUACUGAAGAGGAAACUUAAAGUUGAAAUUUAUCUACAUAGUGCGCAAUUGGAUUAAUUUGAACUGGAAUGUGUGCUUUCCUGCAAAAAAGAAAUAGGAAAUUUCAUCAUAAUCACAUGAUAAUGGCCAUAAACAAAAUGGAGUUCUAUCAUAGAUACACAAAAACACUAUUGUAUAAAAGCAACAACAUAUUAUAUAUAUUAGUCGAAAGAAAGGAGAAAUGCAGAAAAAAUACUAUUUUGUUGUUGAAAAAAGGAACACCAGUUUUAUCCACUCAUUUACAUCGCUCCCUCAUAUCAAAUAUACAGAAGAAGAUCAUUGAAGAACAAUUUGCAAAAAUGUUUCUCUUAGAAUUGAAGGAAAAUGUUUAGUGAAUGGAAUAAUGUAUUCACUGAAUUCCUACGUAGUGGAUUGAAUAACUGUACACAAGCUGAAACAGAAGAAAAUUUUAAUUUAAAAUAACAGGAAAAGACUUUAAAGUGUUUUUUUAUUUUAUUAUUUAAUCUGCAAAUAUAAACAAAUUCUUUAGAACACCACAAAUGGUAUGACAUUCAAAUUGGUUGCUUAUUAAUGUAUUGCAUUGAAACAAUUACAAAGAAAACAGAAUCCUUU
rnacentral:lncRNA from 1 species